rnacentral:rRNA from 1 species
UAGCAUAUCAAUAAGCGGMSGRAWAGAMACCAACAGGRRUWKSCCCCAGUAACGGCGAGUGAAGCGGCAACAGCUCAAAUUUGAAAUCUGGCCCCCCCCGCGGGGUCCGAGUUGUAAUUUGAAGAGGAUGCUUCUGGCGAGGCGCCGUCCGAGUUCCCUGGAACGGGACGCCGCAGAGGGUGAGAGCCCCGUACGGUCGGACGCCGAGCCUAUGUGAAGCUCCUUCGACGAGUCGAGUAGUUUGGGAAUGCUGCUCAAAAUGGGAGGUAAACCCCUUCUAAAGCUAAAUACCGGCCAGAGACCGAUAGCGCACAAGUAGAGUGAUCGAAAGAUGAAAAGCACUUUGAAAAGAGAGUUAAAAAGCACGUGAAAUUGUUGAAAGGGAAGCGCUUGCGACCAGACUCGCGCCCGUCGGAUCAGCCGUCGCUCGUCGGCGGCGCACUCCGGCGGGCUCGGGCCAGCAUCGGUUCGCCUCGGGGGGAGAAAGGCGGCGGGAAUGUGGCUCUACGGAGUGUUAUAGCCCGCCGUGCAAUACCCCCGGGCGGACCGAGGACCGCGCGUAUGCAAGGAUGCUGGCGUAAUGGUCGUCAGCGACCCGUCUUGAAACACGGACCAAGGAGUCGUCCUAAUAUGCGAGUGUUCGGGUGUAAAACCCCUGCGCGUAAUGAAAGUGAACGGAGGUGAGAGCUUCGGCGCAUCAUCGACCGAUCCUGAUGUUCUCGGAUGGAUUUGAGUAAGAGCAUAUUGGGCCGGACCCGAAAGAAGGUGAACUAUGCCUGUAUAGGGUARAGCCAGAGGAAACUCUGGUGGAGGCUCGCAGCGGYUCUGACGUGCAAAUCGAUCGUCAAAUAUGGGCAUGGGGSGMGAARRACUAAUCGAACCUUCUAGUAGCUGGGUUUCCGCCGAGCCCCCCCCYYYYCGSARAACCKYGGGAGAUAAAACCGGUUUCUAUGAAUGCUUCCAUCCACUCUCUUUGCCCCCAUGACGCAUGAUAUUGACCAUUCGAUACUGCCGUUCCAGAACCCGCCCUGCUAGCUCUCAGAGGUUUUCUACCCGCAUUUUACCUAUACGUGACUAGCUUAGUGUCUUGUGCGGGCUCGCAUCUGCAUCUCACUCAAAAUCAGUGAACGUCGCAAGUCAUGACGCAAGCUCUAACUAUUCUUGUGCAUACGCUGUGCCCAUGUGAUCUCAAGUCGCAAUUCAACGAGCAACCUGAUGUC